rnacentral:misc_RNA from 1 species
UGAAGUGCGAUAAGUAAUGCGAAUCGCAUACAUUCGUGAGUCAUCGAAUCUUUGAACGCAUGUUGCACUCUUCGGCUAUCCGGAGAGUAUGCCUGUUUGAGUGUCAUAAUGUCUACUUCUUGACCAUCUGUGGAUGGAUUAACAAGGAUUUGAGGUUCUAGUUUUACGGCUAAACCUUUAAUUGUAGGCCUAAAGUGAUGGUAGUAUACCUUCCAAAUAGUGUGGUAAAAGGGAAACCUUGCUCGCUUAAUGGUUGUAUAUGAUAAUUACUCUUAGUCACAUAUUUCUAGCCUUUUAGGCUGAUUUAAUGACCUCAAAUCAGGCAAGACUACCCGCUGAACUUAA